AUCUGAUGCUGAGGGCAUUUAAUAUACAGUUUCUUAAACCUCUCCCAGUACUCAUAGAGAGAUUCACCUGGAUAUUGUUUGAUGCCACAUAUCUCCUUUCUUAGACU